UGACCAUUGGAUGCGAAGUAAUAAUGGGUUGAAUGAAUGGCUUGGAUCUUCGAAAUGGUUUUUUAGGAACAUGUAUUGCCUAUAUAAGUGGAACUACGCUAUUGUAUUACCUAUAUAAGUUGAGGUGCAAGUUGAGCUUUUUGUAAGUUAUACCUCGGCUUAAUGCAUGACCCUUUGUAUCCCCCAAGCUUAAUGAUGCACCAAGGUUUAUCAAGCUUGGGUUUUCUAAAAGUCGCUUUUAAAUGGGAAAAUAAAAUAAAGUAAAAAGAAAGCACAAAAAGUUUUAUAUGACAUUUUUACCUUGUGAAACGUGUUACAAUUAAUACCUUCUCUUUUCUUUCAACCUUCUUUCACCGUUUGGAUUUUUGAUGCUCGAACGGUUAUUACUUGCGUUACCCACUAAGUUAGUAGGCUUGUAAUAAUACCUUGUUGCUGUUUUGUCUUUGGGAAUUGACGUUGUGAUUUUUCAAAUUUCUGUCUCAAGUUGAAUCCAGUAUGACUUCCAAAGGUUAGUGUCUUCUUCUUUGCUUUUUCCGUUUUUACAAUGGUGAAAGGGAUGGAGAAAGAAAAAGAGAGAGAAAAAUAGAAAGUGGUUGAAGUAAGAAAAGAGAAUCCGUAUCAUUGGGUACAUGAGGAUGUGAGGACUCGUUCUUCGUCGUAUGUGGACGCCGAGUCUCUUCGUGAACUUAAGGGUUUGAAACUUGUUAAAAAUUGUUUCGGUGUGGCUGUCGAGCUUCUUUACUGUUCUGGUGAGGAUAGGGUUUGUGAGAGGAGGGGAGAUUGGCAAUAUUUCUAUAUGUACACUCCUUGUCUUACUGAACUGCGCGUGAGAUUUCCUUUUUCUGGUUUCGAGUGCGAUGUUCUUACCCAACUCAACUGUGCGCCUUCGCAGUUACACCCUAAUUCUUGGGCGUUUCUGCGUGCUUUUCAGUGUCUCAUGGAUUUUCUUUUGUUUCCUCGUUUUUUAUUUGUCUUUUUCUCGUUGUUUCAAUCCAAAAGGGUGCGGAAAAGGUUAUAGGUGUUUCUGAGUAGCUUUCCUGGUCGUUCUCUUUUCCUGCUAUACAAAUCUUCCUUCAAAAAUUUUAACCCCCUGUUUGUUAAGGUGCGAUCUGUAGAGACCGAGUACCCUUUUUAUCUUGAUGACGAACUUAUAGAAAAGUUUCCCCUUUACUGGUGCUCCAAGCCAAUUCAAAUUCUUGAGGCUACUGAGUGGAGCGAAGAGGAGGACUGUCCUUUAGAUUUUUUGAUAGAGAGCUUUGCUACUGGGGAAUGUUUGUCAAUUUCUAAACUUCUACAUUUUCAUGAUAUUGGUGACAAAGAGGGUUUGAAAGCUUAUAUAGGUAAUACUGAUUUGUAUUCUUCCUUGCAGAUUUUGUAUUUUCUGACUUUGUGUUGUACCUGUAGGUGGACGAGUGCCCCUCCUUGAUCCUUCUCGGCUUCAAUCUUUCCUCAAGAAGAAAAAAGAGAAAGAUGCGGGUGGUUUUGGAGUUCUAAAGGAGGGUGGAGGGGAUGCUGCUUACUCUACUGCCCAGCCUGCGUCGUCAUUUAAAAAAAAAGGGAUGAUACCGAGAAGUCUCUGGAAGUUCUAUCAGAAGGUGAUAAGGAAGAUGUUGGUGGUAAUGAAUCUGCCUUUGAUAGGCAAAAGAGGCUCCAUGGUUUCAUUCCUGAUACGAAUCCGCAUUCACUAUGGAGCAAUCAAUUUCCCUUUGCCAAACUUUCUGAUAGGGUUUCCCAAUAUCUUGGCGACAUGCUUAUGACCUGCCGAAUUGGCAUGGAGGGGAUGGGAAAAUUUAUCCAGGUCAACUGUAUAUUUUUGGUAUAUAUGUUUUGCUUGUUGUUGUGUUUUUAUUUUUUAUUUUUUGUUAUCUCAUUGUUGUCUUUUACUACAGAUUGUUGCUUCACAUUUGAUGUGUGUAGGUCGCACGACCGAACUGCUAGGGGUUGAGCAGCAGGUGGCCAUGGAUAAAAUUGUUGAGUUAGUGUGGUCGUCAAAGGAGAAAGACGACGUCAUUAUUGAUGUGACGGCAAAAAUGAAAAAUUCUAAAGAGGAGAUUAUCCGACUUCAGGAUCAAGUUCGGCUUCUUCAGGCAGAGAUCAAAGAAAAUGUUAAGACUAAAGGGGAGCAAACUUCCAGGAUUCAUGAGUUGGAAGAGGAGGGGAUGGAGAUGUUUACCUCCGGAUUUGAUCGUGCCGUUAGUCAGUUCGCCGUGCUGGCUCCCGAGUUUGAUUGCGGUCAGCUUGAUGUGACCAAGAUUGUUAUUGGUGGCAAGCUGGUUGUAGAUGGAACUGUGGAGGAUCAUGAUGAGAACAUUCCUCCUUCUUGAUUUGAUAUAUUAUGAGUUGUUUUUUUUUGUUAAUACUUCUGUUGCCGAUUUUAGAUCGGAUCGCUAUUGUCUUUUGCUCUGACUACGUUAAGUUAGGUUGAACGUUGGAUAUUUUGAUAUUUAGAAGUAUGCAAGUUUGACUACUGUUUAUUUGCAUUUGCGCAAUUGUUUGAAAGUAGAAUAGGAAUAAGAGAUCGUUUAUUCAUACGUCAGUAAACUCUCUGUCCUUGUAAUAAUUGAAAAUUGACAUAUUGGGUGUCUGGCCUCAUUAAAACCCUCCUUAGGUAAAAUCUGUAUUUGGGAAAAAACCACUAAGGGAGAAAAAAGAGUACCUUCAUCUGCUGAUUGAAAAGUUUACAAUCUAUACAACUUUAGUGAAGAAAUAUUCUAGUUUCCCAAUAAUGAGUCGCCUUUUGGUAUUUGUAGCUGGUAAGCCCCCAUUCCGAGUACUUUUGUAACUAGGAAUGGUCCUUCCCAGUUUGCUGCGAGUUUUCCAUGUGAUGGAGGUCGUCUUGCUUCCUCUGUUCUUCUGAGGACGAAGUCUCCUUCAUUGAAUGUUCUGGGUACCACUUUCUUGUUAUGUUGUCUUUCAAUAAGUUGCUUCAUUGCUCUUUGUUUUAUAGCUACAAUUUCUCUAUCUUCCUCCGUGAGGUCUAGUUCGGCUUUCCUUGUGUCAAUAUUGUGGCUUUGGCUGUAUAGCUCAGCCCUUAAGGUAGUGAUGCCGACCUUAAUUGGUAUUAGUGCCUCCGUUCCAUAUACCAAUUUGAAUGGAGUCUCGCCUGUAGUGGUUUGUAUUGUCAUGUUAUAGCUCCACAAUAUUUCUGGGAUCAAGUCUGCCCAUUCACCUUUCGCAUCGAUGAGCCUUUUUCAUUGCCUGCAAGAUUACUCGGUUAGCAGCUUCGGCCUACCCAUUUGUUUGUGGGUACUCGACCGAGCUAAAAUGAUGUUGUAUGUUAAAGUUUUUCAAGAAUGAUGCAAGUUUACUAUUUUCAAUUUGCCUACCGUUAUCCGAUAUUAUUUCUUUAGGUAUUCCAAAUCUACAUAUGAUAUUUUUCCAUAUGAAAGACUGUACCUUUUCGGCUGUUAUUCUUGCUAAUGGCUAUGCUUUUAUCCAUUUUGAGAAAUAAUCUAUUGAAACUAAAAGAAAUUGUACCUGUCCUGGUGCUUUUGGGAAUGGACCGAGGAUAUCGAGUCCCCAUCUAUAGAAAGGCCAGCUUACCUCCAUGUUGUGUAACACUUCGGCAGGCUUCAUUGAAAUAGCGGCAUGCUUUUGAUAGUUGUCACAUGUUUUUACCUUUGCUAUGCAGUCCAUUUUCAGUGUUGGCCAGUAAUAUCCUGUUCGGACAAUUUUGGCCGCCAGUGCUCGUCCUCCUAUAUGGUUACCACACACACCCUCGUGGACCUCGGUCAUGACUUCGUUGCCUUCGUCCUUGCCGAGGCAUUUUAGUAGUGGUUGUGAGAAACCACGUCUGUAUAUUUCUCCUGCCACAGUUGUAUAAAAACUUGCUUUUCAUCUAAAAGAUUUGAGGAUUAGUCUCAUUUCUGGGAAUGGUCUCUGUACUAAUAUACUCAAGAAAAGGCAUUCUCGAGUCAUUUGUAUGAGUGUUGUUCAUUAUGCACAGUGAUUCGAUACUAGGAUUUUCUAGUGUAAGUUGUGCUAGUGCCGAUGUGUGUGUGUUUGCUUUAGUAGCGGCGAGUUUGGACAAUAUAUCUACUCUAGUGUUCUUCUCUCUAUGCACAUGCAAUAUAAUAAAUUCAUCAAACUUUGAAAUAAGAUCUUUUGCUAUGAGCCAAUACCGCUCUAACAGAAGAUCUUUUACUUGGAAGUCUCCUUUGAUUUGCUGAACUACCAACAGGGAAUCACAGUAUACUGUUAGGCAGUGUACAUGGAAACUGAGGGUGAGCUUUAGACUUGCUAUGAGCGCCUCAUACUCGGCUUGGUUGUUGCUCGCCGAGAAGUGGAAUUGAAGUAAUUGUUCGGCCAUUACUGUUUCUCCUUCCUUUAGUACUAUCCCAGCUCUGCUCUCCUCGCGGUUUGAUGCUCCAUCCACCUGUAACUUCCAAACCUAUUCGUCAUGUUGCUCAUUGGCGGUAAGUUCAGAAACAAAGUCUGCCAAGAUCUGUGAUUUCAGAGUUGGUCUUGAUUGAAACUGAAUAUCAAACUCAGAAAGUUCGAUGGACCAUUUGGUCAGCCGUCCUGCCAAUUCUGGCUUUGUCAGUAUCUACCAUAAUGGUUGGUUCAUCCUUAUGACUAUUGUGUGGAUCUGGAAGUAUUGCCUUAGCCUCCUUGCUAUUGUUACCAAUGCUAGGGCCAAUUUUUCUAUUCUGGGAUACUUUUUUUCAGUUAGUUGCAUGACUCUACUAACGAAGUAACUGGUUUUUGUGCCUUUCCUGUCUCGAUAACAAGAACUGAACUUACAGAAUGAUUAGAAAUAGAUAAGUACAAAUACAAAGGUUUGCCGAUAUCUGGACUUUGUAUACUGGUGGUGAGGAUAGGAUAGCCUUAAGCUCGGAAAAUGCUGUUUGACAUUCUUUGGUCCAUUCAAACUUUUUAUUCUUGGAGAUCGUCUGGAAGAAGUGGUAUAAUCGGUUUCAUACUGCGGGCAGAAAUCGUGAUAGUGCGGCUACCCUUCCUGCUAACUGUUGUACUUCUUUGAUUGAUUUCGAACUUGCCAUGUUGAGUAUUGCCUCACAUUUUUUGGGGUUCACCUCAAUCCCGAGUGAAGUCAGCAUAAACCCGAGGAAUUUUCCUCUUUGUACCCCAAAAGGACAUUUCUUUGGAUUGAGUCUCAUAUUAUAUGCUCGGAUCUAUUUGAAUAUUUCCUCUAGGUUGUCACAGUGUGAUCCUUCUGAUGGAGUCUUGGCCACCAUGUCAUCUACAUAGAUCUCCAUAUUCUAACCUAUUUGCUGAUGGAAUACCUUGUCCAUUAGUCUUUGAUAUGUUGCACCUGCAUUCUUUAGGCCAAAUGGCAUUACCUUAUAACAAAAAUUCCCAUGUUCUGUUAUGAAAGCUGUUUUGCUUUGGUCUUUUGGAUGCAUAAGAAUCUGGUUAUAACCAGAGUAUGCAUCCAUGAAGCUUCAGCUUUUAAACCCAGAAGCAUUAUCUACUAGUUUGUCAAUACAAGGCAAUGGGUAAGUAUCUUUUGGACAUGCCUUGUUAAGAUUUGUAAAGUCGACGCACAUGCGCCAUUUACCUGAGUUCUUUCUUACCAUUACCACAUUUGAGAGCCAUGUGGUGAAGCGGAUCUCUUUGAUGAAGCCAGCAUUAAGGAGCUUCAUUGUCUCUUCCAGGGCUGCCUUCUCCUUUUCCGCUCUGAGGUUUCUUUUCUUCUGAGCCAUGGGUCGGAUUGUUCUGUCGAUGGCGAAUUUGUGGCAAAUGACGCUCGGGUCUAUCCAUGGCAUGUCUGAUGGGGUCCAAGCGAACAAGUUGGCAUUGUCUUGUAGUACCUUUAUUAAUUUUGAUUUUUCCUCUCCUUCAAGAGCUCGGCCAAUAUACGUAAACUGUUCUACCUUUGAGGUCAGAGGAACCCUUUGGAGUUCAUCUACUGGUUGAGGUCUUUCCUGGGGAUCUUCCCGAGGAUUGAGUUCUACUAGUGAUAGUACUUCGUUUAUGCUGUGGACGGCCUACAUUUCUUGUUGAGGUUUUCCUCCUGUGUUGGCCCCUUUUAGGCUUGCAUUGUAACAUUACCGAGCUUGUUGUUGAUCUGAGUGUAUUGUUGCUAUCCU